GUAGAAGUAACAAUAUGACAAAUGCGAGCGUGUGUGGAGGUGGGUGUGCGGGUUUGAUUGUCCACUGGCAGCGCUAGUGAGCGCUCCACUCAUGCAAACUAAAGAGGAAAAAAAAGAGAAAAAAAAAGAAAAAGAGGGAGAGGUUGUCAAUAGAACGAGGAACACACUCAAGGCCUUACAAGUAAACCACGCUGAACGAGCCGGUGCACUUUUACAGGUCAGGUUUGGUGCUGCUACACAAAGGACAAACUCCGACUGCAACGGACAAUCAAAACUGCUGAAAAGAUUGUCGGUACCCCCUUCCCACCCUUGAGGACUUGCACGCUGCCAGAACUAAGACAAGAGCGUGCAAAAUUCUCUUGGACACCUCCACAUCCCGGUCAGCACCUCUUCCAGCUCCUUCCCUCAGGUUGCCCUUGCUACCACAUGCCCCAUACCAGCUACAGUAUAUAACGUGCAACUGACCAUCUUGCCCAACACCCGUUUGAUCAGUGGGAGGUAAAGUUGCUAGGCAGAGGUCCAGGCCAGAGCUCCGGCAUCAUCUUCCCUCUUGCGCAAGAGCAGCAGAACCUCAACUCUUUACUUACGUGGAGCAGAGGGUAUCCACACAUCUGAACACUCGCCUGCACAAAGGCCUGGCCUCAGGGCCCAGCCACAAACAUGGAAGCUGACCUGUUUUGACCUCUCCUCCACUCUGGGUACCUGGGACUCGCUCCAAUCAGCUGUGGGACCUUCCUGUUAGCACAGUCUGCCCGAUCAGUGCGUCCGAUGGCAAGUGAAGCACACAAACACGCCCCCACACUGACACAUAGACUGUACACAUAAACAAAAAGACACACUCAGACGUUAUCCGGGCAUAACAUACUGUCUCAUACAAACACAAUCUGUCACACUCGGCAUGUAGAGCAUUACUCUGUCUGCAUCUCCCACUCACAUCUCGUCUUUCUCAUGUGGGAACUGCAUUAAAUUGGUGAAUAUC